GACAGAGGGUGCAAACGUUGUUCGGAAUUACUGGGCGUAAAGCGCGUGUAGGCUGCUUCGCAAGUCGGAUGUGAAAGCCCUGGGCUCAACCCAGGAAGUGCAUUCGAAACUGCAGAGCCGUGAGUCCUGGAGAGGAAGGCGGAAUUCUCGGUGUAGAGGUGAAAUUCGUAGAUAUCGAGAGGAACACCGGUGGCGAAGGCGGCCUUCUGGACAGUGACUGACGCUGAGACGCGAAAGCCAGGGGAGCAAACGGG
rnacentral:rRNA from 1 species